CUGGAUGUUGGAGGGCUGUUUGUGUUGGGUGCUGAUCCUGUAUUCACUGGAUGUUGGAGGGCUGUUUGUGUUGGGUGCUGUCCAUUCAUAUUUCCACACCUUUUCUUCACCUCCCUGAAUCUCACAUCUGAGAGUGAUUGUCUCACCAGUGAAUAUCUGAGACCAGCUGUGCUGCAGCUUCACAUCGAUCCUGUUGGAAA